UCAAACUUGGUCAUUUAGAGGAAGUAAAAGUCGUAACAAGGUCUCCGUUGGUGAACCAGCGGAGGGAUCAUUACCGAGUUUACAACUCCCAAACCCCUGUGAACAUACCGUUUUCGUUGCCUCGGCGGGAGGCCCCGGGGGGUGGAGGUCCGGCGCCCCGCGCGCCGCCGCCGCCCUCCCGGACCCCAACGGCUGCCCGCCGGAGGACCCCCAAACUCUUGUUUUACCACACGUUUUCUUCUGAGUGUUGGCGAAAGCCGAAAAUGAAAUCAAAACUUUCAACAACGGAUCUCUUGGCUCUGGCAUCGAUGAAGAACGCAGC
rnacentral:misc_RNA from 1 species